rnacentral:rRNA from 1 species
GGGUUGUGAGGUUAAGCGACUAAGCGUACACGGUGGAUGCCCUGGCAGUCAGAGGCGAUGAAGGACGUGCUAAUCUGCGAUAAGCGUCGGUAAGGUGAUAUGAACCGUUAUAACCGGCGAUUUCCGAAUGGGGAAACCCAGUGUGUUUCGACACACUAUCAUUAACUGAAUCCAUAGGUUAAUGAGGCGAACCGGGGGAACUGAAACAUCUAAGUACCCCGAGGAAAAGAAAUCAACCGAGAUUCCCCCAGUAGCGGCGAGCGAACGGGGAGCAGCCCAGAGCCUGAAUCAGUGUGUGUGUUAGUGGAAGCGUCUGGAAAGGCGCGCGAUACAGGGUGACAGCCCCGUACACAAAAAUGCACAUGCUGUGAGCUCGAUGAGUAGGGCGGGACACGUGGUAUCCUGUCUGAAUAUGGGGGGACCAUCCUCCAAGGCUAAAUACUCCUGACUGACCGAUAGUGAACCAGUACCGUGAGGGAAAGGCGAAAAGAACCCCGGCGAGGGGAGUGAAAAAGAACCUGAAACCGUGUACGUACAAGCAGUGGGAGCACGCUUCGGCGUGUGACUGCGUACCUUUUGUAUAAUGGGUCAGCGACUUAUAUUCUGUAGCAAGGUUAACCGAAUAGGGGAGCCGAAGGGAAACCGAGUCUUAACUGGGCGUUAAGUUGCAGGGUAUAGACCCGAAACCCGGUGAUCUAGCCAUGGGCAGGUUGAAGGUUGGGUAACACUAACUGGAGGACCGAACCGACUAAUGUUGAAAAAUUAGCGGAUGACUUGUGGCUGGGGGUGAAAGGCCAAUCAAACCGGGAGAUAGCUGGUUCUCCCCGAAAGCUAUUUAGGUAGCGCCUCGUGAAUUCAUCUCCGGGGGUAGAGCACUGUUUCGGCAAGGGGGUCAUCCCGACUUACCAACCCGAUGCAAACUGCGAAUACCGGAGAAUGUUAUCACGGGAGACACACGGCGGGUGCUAACGUCCGUCGUGAAGAGGGAAACAACCCAGACCGCCAGCUAAGGUCCCAAAGUCAUGGUUAAGUGGGAAACGAUGUGGGAAGGCCCAGACAGCCAGGAUGUUGGCUUAGAAGCAGCCAUCAUUUAAAGAAAGCGUAAUAGCUCACUGGUCGAGUCGGCCUGCGCGGAAGAUGUAACGGGGCUAAACCAUGCACCGAAGCUGCGGCAGCGACGCUUAUGCGUUGUUGGGUAGGGGAGCGUUCUGUAAGCCUGUGAAGGUGUGCUGUGAGGCAUGCUGGAGGUAUCAGAAGUGCGAAUGCUGACAUAAGUAACGAUAAAGCGGGUGAAAAGCCCGCUCGCCGGAAGACCAAGGGUUCCUGUCCAACGUUAAUCGGGGCAGGGUGAGUCGACCCCUAAGGCGAGGCCGAAAGGCGUAGUCGAUGGGAAACAGGUUAAUAUUCCUGUACUUGGUGUUACUGCGAAGGGGGGACGGAGAAGGCUAUGUUGGCCGGGCGACGGUUGUCCCGGUUUAAGCGUGUAGGCUGGUUUUCCAGGCAAAUCCGGAAAAUCAAGGCUGAGGCGUGAUGACGAGGCACUACGGUGCUGAAGCAACAAAUGCCCUGCUUCCAGGAAAAGCCUCUAAGCAUCAGGUAACAUCAAAUCGUACCCCAAACCGACACAGGUGGUCAGGUAGAGAAUACCAAGGCGCUUGAGAGAACUCGGGUGAAGGAACUAGGCAAAAUGGUGCCGUAACUUCGGGAGAAGGCACGCUGAUAUGUAGGUGAGGUCCCUCGCGGAUGGAGCUGAAAUCAGUCGAAGAUACCAGCUGGCUGCAACUGUUUAUUAAAAACACAGCACUGUGCAAACACGAAAGUGGACGUAUACGGUGUGACGCCUGCCCGGUGCCGGAAGGUUAAUUGAUGGGGUCAGCGCAAGCGAAGCUCUUGAUCGAAGCCCCGGUAAACGGCGGCCGUAACUAUAACGGUCCUAAGGUAGCGAAAUUCCUUGUCGGGUAAGUUCCGACCUGCACGAAUGGCGUAAUGAUGGCCAGGCUGUCUCCACCCGAGACUCAGUGAAAUUGAACUCGCUGUGAAGAUGCAGUGUACCCGCGGCAAGACGGAAAGACCCCGUGAACCUUUACUAUAGCUUGACACUGAACAUUGAGCCUUGAUGUGUAGGAUAGGUGGGAGGCUUAGAAGUGUGGACGCCAGUCUGCAUGGAGCCGACCUUGAAAUACCACCCUUUAAUGUUUGAUGUUCUAACGUUGACCCGUAAUCCGGGUUGCGGACAGUGUCUGGUGGGUAGUUUGACUGGGGCGGUCUCCUCCUAAAGAGUAACGGAGGAGCACGAAGGUUGGCUAAUCCUGGUCGGACAUCAGGAGGUUAGUGCAAUGGCAUAAGCCAGCUUGACUGCGAGCGUGACGGCGCGAGCAGGUGCGAAAGCAGGUCAUAGUGAUCCGGUGGUUCUGAAUGGAAGGGCCAUCGCUCAACGGAUAAAAGGUACUCCGGGGAUAACAGGCUGAUACCGCCCAAGAGUUCAUAUCGACGGCGGUGUUUGGCACCUCGAUGUCGGCUCAUCACAUCCUGGGGCUGAAGUAGGUCCCAAGGGUAUGGCUGUUCGCCAUUUAAAGUGGUACGCGAGCUGGGUUUAGAACGUCGUGAGACAGUUCGGUCCCUAUCUGCCGUGGGCGCUGGAGAACUGAGGGGGGCUGCUCCUAGUACGAGAGGACCGGAGUGGACGCAUCACUGGUGUUCGGGUUGUCAUGCCAAUGGCACUGCCCGGUAGCUAAAUGCGGAAGAGAUAAGUGCUGAAAGCAUCUAAGCACGAAACUUGCCCCGAGAUGAGUUCUCCCUGACUCCUUGAGAGUCCUGAAGGAACGUUGAAGACGACGACGUUGAUAGGCCGGGUGUGUAAGCGCAGCGAUGCGUUGAGCUAACCGGUACUAAUGAACCGUGAGG